CGCUUCGUGCUGCCGCUGCUGCUCUUAGUUAUUCCGUUGUCGUCGACGUUACCUGGAAUAAAGUAAAGCAGAGGGCGCCGCGAUAACGUUGCGGCCCCAUCCCCGGAUUAUUUAGUACGUGUGUGUAUUUGCCUUUAUCAUCUGACUCGAAAAAUGCGACGAGUAUGACUAUGGGGCGAUGACGACAACGUUUCGCUGGCCACUCGCACGCACAUGCUCCACCUAGUAAUCCCGGGAAAGGGCGGCGGCACCUAUCUAACUAAUCGCCUAAUCGCAUAAUAAAUUUCAUUUCAAUAAAAUAGUUUUCCCAGUUA